GUGGAUUAGAUACCCUAGUAGUCCGCACCGUAAACGGUGGGCACUAGUUGUGGGAACCUUCCACGGUUUCCGCGACGCAGCAAACGCAUUAAGUGCCCCGCCUGGGGAGUACGAUCGCAAGAUUAAAACUCAAAGGAAUUGACGGGGCCCCGCACAAGCAGCGGAGCAUGCGGCUUAAUUCGACGCAACGCGAAGAACCUUACCAAGGCUUGACAUAUAGCGAAAAGUGGCAGAGAUGUCAUGUCCGCAAGGGCGCUAUACAGGUGGUGCACGGUUGUCGACAGCU
rnacentral:rRNA from 1 species